UUUAAUAUGAGAGUUUGAUCCUGGCUCAGGACGAACGCUGGCGGCGUGCCUAACACAUGCAAGUCGAGCGAGAAGAGCUCCUUCGGGAGUAAUUCUAGCGGCGGACGGGUGAGUAACACGUGGGCAACCUGCCUUAGUGAGGGGGAUAGCCUCCCGAAAGGGAGAUUAAUACCGCAUAACAUUAUUUUAUCGCAUGAUAGAAUAAUCAAAGGAGCAAUCCGCACUAAGAUG
rnacentral:rRNA from 1 species